CUAUUUUUUUUUUUUUUUUGCAGGAAUUGAUAUACCGAUUCUAAAAUUCAUAUGACCAAAGCUCGGGGCUACACACAGAAAGAGCAUCUCAUCGAAGAAGGAAUAAGUGAAGGUUACAGGAGAUGAUUGUCUCCUUCUGUGCCACCAGGAGAGUCC
rnacentral:lncRNA from 1 species